GACGAACCGUGCGAACGUUGUUCGGAAUCACUGGGCUUAAAGGGCGCGUAGGCGGGUCACCAAGUCCGGGGUGAAAUCUUUCGGCUCAACCGGAAAAUAGCCUUGGAUACUGGUGAUCUGGAGGGUGGUAGGGGCAUGUGGAACUUCCGGUGGAGCGGUGAAAUGCGUUGAUAUCGGAAGGAACGCCGGUGGCGAAAGCGACGUGCUGGACCACUACUGACGCUGAGGCGCGAAAGCCAGGGGAGCAAACGGG
rnacentral:rRNA from 1 species